rnacentral:lncRNA from 1 species
GGGGUUCGGUUAGUGGCAAGGUUGGGGUUAAGUUGGGUUAGAGUUAAUACUGGGUUCGAUUAGGGUUAGUAUCAUAAUUGAGUUAUGGGUCUAAUCAAGGUGAGGGGUGGGGUUUAGUUAGGAUUGGUUUAGGAUUAGAAUUAGAAUCAGGUUAGAGUUUGGCUCGGGGCCAGGGUUAGAGAGGAAUUAUGGUUAAGGUUCGG